GAUAAACGCUGACAGAAUGCUUAACACAUGCAAGUCGAUGAUGGGAGCUAGCUUGCUAGAAGAAGUCAUGGCGGACGGGUGAGUAACGUGCAAAGAACUUACCAUAUAGACUGGGAUAACAGAGGGAAACUUCUGAUAAUACUGGAUAAGUUAGUAGUAGCAUUACUAAGUAAUGAAAGGUAGCAAUACGCUAUAUGAGAGCUUUGCAUCCUAUUAGCUAGUUGGUGGGGUAAAAGCCUACCAAGGCGAUGAUAGGUAGCCGGCCUGAGAGGGUGGACAGCCACAAGGGGACUGAGAUACGGCCCUUACUCCUACGGGAGGCAGCAGUGGGGAAUAUUGGACAAUGGAGGCAACUCUGAUCCAGCAAUUCUGUGUGUGUGAAGAAGGUUUUAGGACUGUAAAACACUUUUAGUAGGGAAGAAAGAAAUGACGGUACCUACAGAAGAAGCGACGGCUAAAUACGUG
rnacentral:rRNA from 1 species